rnacentral:lncRNA from 1 species
UAGUUUUUAACUUGACUGUGAUGUUCAGCAAGUGCAGUUAUAUUUUAUUUAAUACAAAUUUCAGAAUUCUUGAAUGGUUAAUUCAUGCCAAGUUAACAAAACUCAGUUACCAUAUUACUGAUUUAGGUAAAACUUUAAAUAUUUAACAGAAGUUAGCUUAUCAGCUCUGGGAAUAAAAGUUAAAAAAAACAAUUCCAUGUACUAAAUUUUCUUCCCUGUCCA